UGUCAGUCAAAUGCCAUCCAAAGCUUCUCAUUGGUAGCUGAUGCUGGCCCCGCCUCCCCGCGGUCGGUGAGGGGCCGGUGCUGAGGGAGCACUCCCAGAGCGGCUCCGCUCCGGGAGCCGGGCGGGUUUGGGGUUGUGUCCGGACCAGCGAGAAUUGUGGAGCCCUCUCAGACCCCACAGCGACCCCUCCGACACACAAAUCCCCUUUGGAACCCUCCCUGGGGCCGUAGGAUCUGUGAGAGGGGUCGGGGAUCCAGGACGGCGUCCUUUCCGUCCCUAUCAGAUCUUACGGAGAAAGGCAGAUACUACGUUGAGAGGAGUGCAAAGGCGAUUUUAUUUUCUUUUUCCCUCACCCAAACAGCGGUAUCCUCUAUCCAGCGUUCUGUGCUUGUGCCUCUAGUAAUACAAACCACUUUAUAAAUACCAGCCAGAAAACCGUAUUUCGGGUGAGAUGUCCAGAUGUGCGGCUGUUAAGUGGAUUUGGGACUCACCCUGUUCUAAAAGAGUGAAGAGAAGCAAAGUUUAAAAGACCUUGCUCAAGCCUAUUUUUUCAGCUUUGAGGCUUUACAUCGCUUCCUUAUUAGUCCUUAGGUGUCUCAUCAAUGAAUCUUGGUGACAAAAGCCCGGAGGAAGCCAGCCCAGCUCUUCUCUGUCACAGAGCACAAGGGCAAAGCAGAGGAAAAUUACUAAAUCACUGAAGCCAAACCCAUAAAGUAGCAUUUUAAAUCAAUGCUUACUGGAAAAGCCGAUAAGGAACUUUGAUGAUCUAGACUUAAAAGACCACUGAAAAUAUUCUUAUAUCUGUGAAUUGAAUAAUCAUAUGUUUACUUCUGUAUUUCAUGAAAAAAAAAAAAAUCUGCGAUGCAUCUUACUCAUAUCCUUGCAAUACAGGGAGGAAAAAUGCCCUGAAAAGGUAAACCAGCAUGAGAAAUGGUCACUCAAAGUGAGUGCUUGGAAGCAGAGGUUAAGGCUCCCUUCUCAGAACUGCAAGUGCUCUUUCACCCCACAAACCAAAGGACUAUAUUUUAAGGAAAGGCAGGAAACACCAUUUUACGGAUUGAUUGCUUUCUUCCUGCUGAAAUGUAUGCAAAGCUUGAAAAGCAGCUUGCUCAAGGACCUGCCUGUGACCUACAUGAUACAGAACCAAAGAAAAGGAGAGUGAAACAGACCCUACAAGAUCAUCUAAUCCAACAGUUUGCCCAAGGAAAGAGUCCAGGGAACACUAAUAUCUGCUGAACUGCCUUGCCAAAACUCAGAUAUAAUGCCCCCAGUAAUGGCCUUCUCUUGCACCUUCAGACUCCUGCUUUGAUGUAAGGCACUGGAGUGCUCCAGGAGAGAGCUCUCUUCAGGAGCUGAGCUUCUGCCCUGCAGCUGUAACACAAUAAAGUUUAUCCCACUUGAUCA
rnacentral:lncRNA from 1 species